CUCGGGGUUUCUCGGCUGCGGAGCUACUUCUGUGCCGUUGCUCGGGUGUCGUGCCGCCGGGGUUGUUAAGGUCCCGGCCCGGCGGCACUCUCAGCACGCCGGGGGUUUUCCGGCGGGCUCUUCGGUUCGUGCCGCCGCCGUCGGCGGGAGCGUGAGGGACCGUAUCGCUUCAGCCUGCGUGCUGCUGGGGGUAAGAAGCGACACGAAGGGCUGCGGAGACCUAAGUUCAUCUUAUUGCCGGCAGACCGAGGACCGUGGCGGAGCAUCUCGUCGACCCCAACCGGCGAGCGCCUGGGGUCCCUGCUAUGUGUAACUUCAGGAAGACCGUAAGACCGUGUCAUUCCCGUCACGGAGCCGCGGCUCGACAGUUUGCGUGACUGCGACGCUGUUGCGGAUGGCGGUGUUCUUUUUAGCGAAGACCGACCGGCGUGGCGGCGGAGUCGCGGUUAACGCGAGGGAACCGAACGGACCGAGCUCCGCCUGGGGACGGAGAGCGGAGCGCCCGGCGGCGGGUAAAAGUGGGGAACGUUCCUGUUAGUUAUAUUCCAGCAUGAGGAAGCCGGUAAGACUUGCGCAGCUGGAAUUAGCUUCGGUGCUGCGAGCGCUCUGUCUCACGAUACAGCAGCAGGGAAGAACCGUACGGAGCAGUCCAGGUUAGCGACCGGCGCCCCGGGAGCGAUGUUCCAGAGGGACCCGGCCGUCCCGGCGGCGCGCCCUCCCGGCCGAGGAGGCCGGCGUUAUCCCGGGGCGCGUUACAACGAGCGCGGCCGUUGGGGGCGGCGCGUGGUUCUCUUUUCAGAUUUUUCCCCCCCCCC